CGUCUUUGAAAUCUGCUCUGCCGCGGCUAACUUCCACAGCUUCUUCCAUUAAGUUACCAUGUCGCCGCCGUGCUCCUCCGCCUGUCAAAUCGCCUCAGCUUGUUCGCUCUUUCACUGCUCUCUCCCCCGUUAACCCUCUCCAUUCCCUCGGUUUCUCUGGUAAUUUUGCUUACUGAAUAAUUGAAAGAAUAUGCUGAAAAAUGUUGUGUUAAUCUCUUAAUCUUCUAAAAACUAAAUGAUUUGGUUGAAGAUAACUGGUUUAUCCAUUUGUUUUUUAUUCCAUUUCUUGAUGCAGAACAGAAUUUAGGAUUUUAUGAGAUUACUUUGCUGAAUUUGCAUGUGAUUUUUUAUGUUAUUUCUAGUUUAAGGAUUUGAGGGGUGUUUUCCCUUGUAUUUUGCUUUACUGUUCUAGUUCUGGUUUCUUGUAGUUUUAGGACUAUGAAUCAAUAAUGAAUUUACCAUGAAUUACUGAAAUUUGGCGGUUAAAAGAACUAUCCAAUCCCUCUCAAUUUCGUAAUUGAGCAAAUUGGUCCCUCUCCAAAAAAAUCAGAGCAAUUUAAUCCGAGAUAAUUUCGAGUGAACAAUUAAGGGCAAUUAAUCACGAGGUUAAUAUUUUCCAUCAAUCGUACAUUGUUUUGAUUGGUAUAAUAACAAAUUUAGAUCUUAAAGUUUACACAUUCUGUUAAUUUGGUCCUAAUUUAACAAAUUUAUCGUACAACAUUUGUGUCAAUGUUGAGGCUGAAUUUGUUGAAUUUUUUAGAAUUAAGGCCAAAAUAACAAAAAUGUAAACAAUGAAGGUUAAAUUUGUUAUUAUACCGAUCAAAAUUAUGUACAAUUGACGCAACACAUUAACGUUGUGAUUAAUUAUCCUUGGUUGCUCACUUUUGAAGCUGACAGGAAUUAAGUUGCUCCAAUUUUUUUAAGAAUGACUAAUUUGCUCAAUUUCGAAAUUGAUAGGGACGGGAGAGGUAUUUUACCAAAUUUGACUUAUAUAUUGCUUUAAGUUUUACCAUUUGAUUGUUGAGAUUUUGAUAUUAAGAGAACUAGUUGACUGAACCAUAGGUAGAGUUUAAGUCUUUCAUUGACAUAAAUUCUCGAUUCGAUACUUUAAUAAUCCUUUACCCCUUAUUUUAGGUCACUUGGUUAUGUAUUAUAUUACUUGGGCCUAAUCGAGAGUGUCGGAUACCAUAGGUAUCCGAUACGGAAUAUUCAAUAUUUUAAGAGCUUUGCCUUUGAGAGUUUUAGAAGCUCAUAUCUUUACAUCUAUACUUGAAUAUGCAUCAGAUACGAAUAUAGUACUUGAAUGAAAAAUGAGCAUAGGAAAGUUCUAAUAGAUGGUUUUAGUAUCUAUAUCUUUGUUUGUUAUGUUACUAAUCAUACUAACAUUGGCAGGCCUCACCAGCUUUGAGCAAAAUUUCACCAUAAUUGAUAACGGUGGCCGAUUCUACGCAAUGCGGCAUGGCAGACGAGUGCCUAAGCUCAACAGGCCACCUGACCAGCGGCGUGCACUCCUGCGAGGCCUCACGACUCAGCUCCUUAAGUAUGGUCGGAUCAAAACCACUCGGGCUAGGGCAAGCGCUGUGAGGAAGUAUGUAG
rnacentral:lncRNA from 1 species